rnacentral:rRNA from 1 species
GACGAACGCUGGCGGCGUGCUUAACACAUGCAAGUCGAACGAUGAACCUCGAAAUGAUUUCUUCGGAAAGAUUUUUGAGAGGAUUAGUGGCGAACGGGUGAGUAACGCGUGAGCAACCUGCCUUAGACAAGGGGAUAGCCUCGGGAAACCGUGAUUAAUACCCUAUGAGACUCCACUUACGAGUGUAAGAGAAGUUAAAACUAUUGCGGUCUAAGAUGGGCUCGCGUCUGAUUAGCUAGUUGGUGAGAUAAAAGCCCACCAAGGCGACGAUCAGUAACCGGCUUGAGAGAGUGAACGGUCACAUUGGAACUGAGACACGGUCCAAACUCCUACGGGAGGCAGCAGUGGGGAAUAUUGCACAAUGGGGGCAACCCUGAUGCAGCGACGCCGCGUGAGCGAUGAAGGAAUUCGUUUCGUAAAGCUCUGUCCUUGGAGAAGAUAAUGACGGUAACCAAGGAGGAAGCACCGGCUAAAUACGUG